GGUCCCGUGGUGUAGUGGUUAACAUGCCUGCCUGUCACGCAGGAGAUCGCCGGUUCGACCCCGGUCGGGACCGCCAUUU
rnacentral:tRNA from 4 species